rnacentral:rRNA from 1 species
UACGGAGGGGGCUAGCGUUGUUCGGAAUUACUGGGCGUAAAGCGCACGUAGGCGGCUUUGUAAGUUAGAGGUGAAAGCCCGGGGCUCAACUCCGGAAUUGCCUUUAAGACUGCAUCGCUAGAAUUGUGGAGAGGUAAGUGGAAUUCCGAGUGUAGAGGUGAAAUUCGUAGAUAUUCGGAAGAACACCAGUGGCGAAGGCGACUUACUGGACACAUAUUUGACGCCUGG